rnacentral:rRNA from 1 species
UGUGCCUACGGGACGCAGCAGUGAGGAAUAUUGGUCAAUGGGCGCGAGCCUGAACCAGCCAAGUAGCGUGAAGGAUGACUGCCCUACGGGUUGUAAACUUCUUUUAUAAAGGACUAAAGUGAGGCACGUGUGCCUUUUUGUAUGUACUUUAUGAAUAAGGAUCGGCUAACUCCGUGCCAGCAGCCGCGGUAAUACGGAGGAUCCGAGCGUUAUCCGGAUUUAUUGGGUUUAAAGGGAGCGUAGAUGGGUUGUUAAGUCAGUUGUGAAAGUUUGCGGCUCAACGGUAAAUU